rnacentral:rRNA from 1 species
UCGCCUACGGGGCGCAGCAGUGGGGAAUAUUGCACAAUGGGGGAACCCUGAUGCAGCGAUGCCGCGUGGAGGAGGAAGGUUUUCGGAUUGUAAACUCCUUUUAUCAGGGACGAUAAUGACGGUACCUGAAGAAAAAGCUCCGGCUAACUACGUGCCAGCAGCCGCGGUAAUACAUAGGGAGCAAGCGUUAUCCGGAUUUAUUGGGUGUAAAGGGUGCGUAGACGGGAAAUUAAGUUAGUUGUGAAAUCCCUCGGCUUAACUGAGGAACUGCAACUAAAACUGGUUUUCUUGAGUACUGGAGAGGA